rnacentral:tRNA from 1 species
GGGAAUAUGGCUUAGUGGUAGAGUGCUUGCCUAGCAUGCAUGAAGCCCGAGGUUCAGUUCCUCAGUACUA